rnacentral:rRNA from 1 species
UACGUAGGGGGCAAGCGUUGUCCGGAUUUAUUGGGCGUAAAGAGCGUGUAGGCGGCCUGACAGGUCUGCUGUGAAAACUCGAGGCUCAACCUCGAGAUGUCGGCGGAAACCGUCUGGCUAGAGUCCGGAAGAGGAGAGUGGAAUUCCUGGUGUAGCGGUGAAAUGCGCAGAUAUCAGGAAGAACACCGAUGGCGAAGGCAGCUCGCUGGGACGGUACUGACGCUGAGGCGCGAAAGCGUGGGGAGCAAACAGG